CGGAGGGUCUGAGGGCUCCGAGGAGAAGGAACAUGAUGAUGUCAUAGAGUCAUUGUGGGGGAGGGGCCGGCCAGCCAGGGCAGGCAGGGGCGGCCUCUCUGACGAGAAGGAGGCCACUGGGCUGAGGCCAAAGAAUGAGAAAGAGCCAGCCACGUGGUGAGCCGGGAGAGGGCAUCCCAGGCAGUGCGACCAGCGCUUGCAAAGGCCCUGGGGCUGGACAGUUCUUGGCGGAGUCUGAGUCCCAACAGGCAUGCACAGUCCCAAGAGAGACCUGUCCUGGAGCCAGUGACCGCAAGGAGCCAAGGAACAGCCCUGCUCAUCUUGUCUCCUCCCAGCUUCUACCUUGACCAUGAUUCCAUUCC
rnacentral:lncRNA from 1 species